GGCUCGUUGGUCAAGAGGUUAAGACACCGCCCUUUCACGGCGGUAACAGGGUUCAAUUCCCUACGAGUCACCA
rnacentral:tRNA from 1 species